rnacentral:rRNA from 1 species
AUACGGAAGGUCCGGGCGUUAUCCGGAUUUAUUGGGUUUAAAGGGAGCGCAGGCGGAGAUGCAAGCGUGACGUCAAAUUUCGGGGCUCAACCCCGUCUCGCGUCGCGAACUGCGUCCCUUGGUUGCGGGAAGGGGAGGCGGAACUCGUGGUGUAGCGGGGAAAUGCAUAGAUAUCACGAAGAACUCCGAUCGCGAAGGCAGCCUUCCGGCCCGUCAACGACGCUCAUGCUCGAAGGUGCAGGUAUCAAACAGGAUUAGAUACCCUGGUAGUCCGCACAGUAAACGAUGGACACCCGCGGUUUGGCCUGUAUGGCUGAGCCGCCAAGCGAAAGCGUUAAGUGUCCCACCUGGGGAGUACGCCGGCAACGGUGAAACUCAAAGGAAUUGACGGGG